CUCUGCUUUCCUGCAUCACAAACGAAGGCUUCUGAACGGUUCCAACCUGCUUUUUCUCUAAUAGUGCUUAUAUUGCAUUGGCUUUGCAAAGAAGAUCCAAAAGUGAGCAAGGGUCUUCUUUUACCGACAGUGGUGGCGUGGUUCUCUCUCUUCGGUGUAGUUAUGGCUCCGGUAAACGGAGAAGAAGAUCCGGUGUAAAGUCCCCUGGUUUGAGGACGCCGGUGGGUUAUCGCCGGAGCUUCUCGGCUCCUCCGUUUCAACGGCUCGCUGUGACUACAGCGGAAGCCGAAGGGUGAGUGGUGGGGAGUGCUGUUUCGUCGAGGUGGUUAAUGGCUCGAUCCUUUUGGAUCUUGUUGGCUGUCGCGGAUUCUGGUUGCAGUUGGUCUGGGUGAGCCGUCAGCCUCUGUAAUUGCCGCGAAUUGUGUGUCCACCGGACCGGUUUGAAGUUGUCCUUGCUCGAGGGAGAUCGAAGCCGUCGGUGGUUAAAGGAGGGGAUAGAUCUGAGUUUUGGCGGUUUGCUAGGUCAGAAACUGCCAACGUCGAUGUCGGUUGUCGGAAGUUGUGCACACCGGGAGGGAUGUAGCGGGUCAGGUGGCUCGCCGGAUCAAGAUUAACGAUAGAAACUGGAUUCUUCUGUCGGUGGUCUGGAUCCUGCAGUUGCUGCUGCAAAGCCGUGGCCCUUGAAUCCACCGGAAUUGGUGCGCUGACUCUCUGUUUCCGGUGAUCAACAGGGUCCGAUCCUCUUGCCGGCGGCUGCUCUAUUUCGUUUUUCUGUAAACCCUAAUUUUGUACUGGAUCCGAAUUGUAACAGGCCAAAACCCAGCCGAUUUGGGAGUUU